rnacentral:rRNA from 1 species
GAUGAACGCUAGCUACAGGCUUAACACAUGCAAGUCGAGGGGAAACGACAUCGAAAGCUUGCUUUUGAUGGGCGUCGACCGGCGCACGGGUGAGUAACGCGUAUCCAACCUGCCCACCACUUGGGGAUAACCUUGCGAAAGUAAGACUAAUACCCGAUGAUAUCUCUAGAAGACAUCUGAAAGAGAUUAAAGAUUUAUCGGUGAUGGAUGGGGAUGCGUCUGGUUAGCUUGUUGGCGGGGUAACGGCCCACCAAGGCGACGAUCAGUAGGGGUUCUGAGAGGAAGGUCCCCCACAUUGGAACUGAGACACGGUCCAAACUCCUACGGGAGGCAGCAGUGAGGAAUAUUGGUCAAUGGGCGAGAGCCUGAACCAGCCAAGUAGCGUGCAGGAUGACGGCCCUAUGGGUUGUAAACUGCUUUUAUAAGGGAAUAAAGUGAGCCUCGUGAGGCUUUUUGCAUGUACCUUAUGAAUAAGGACCGGCUAAUUCCGUGCCAGCCGCCGCGGUAA